CCCCGGUGCCACGGGGCCCGAAACAUGAGACCCUGGUGCAGCAAAUGGAGGUCAAAGAGAGCAGGCGGGGGAACAACUCAUGCAGGAGCUGAUGCCGCUGAGACGAGCCGUCAGCCGGUGGAAACGGAGCGCGGCCCGAAGGCGGGGACGGAACGGACCGGGUCGACCCAUGGCCGCACAUCAUGCGAGCACAGACGCAUGGACGGGUGCCAGUCGAACCUCCCUGGAAGAACAUUUAUGUUUCUACUCCUUGAGCUGAAAGGAUAAACUGUGAACUGCUACAACCCAGAUACAUGCCAGUAUAACUUAUUUUUAGUAUUUUUAUUGCAGAAACAUCUAUUUUUAGGCAGCUUACACCAGUCUAGAUACUACCUAAACAAAUGUAUGCUAGAUUAGGAUUUAUAUAAUCCAAACUAUUGUAGAGAUACUUAACAGUCCUUGCAGCUACGUGGGAAAAGGAGACUAGAUGAGAUUAAACUGCAAUACAACCCAUUUCGAUGCACUUUCCCUCAACGAAUCAAUCUGACGUCUCAGCCAUCAACCUCUAGAGAUGCACUGACUGCUGAAUGUCCCACAUCUGAGCGUGGAAUACGAUAAACGACGCCAGCACUUCGUUGCCCCCGGCUCUGGGGUAUUUUUCACUCGGCACUGAAGCAGGAGUGAGUUGUGGAAGUUGGAGGGAGGCUCCGGCUGAUGUGGAGACGGCAGCGCGCGGUCCCUCGCUGCUCGACUCAGACCUCCGCCAUCGGAGCGCAGCUCUCGUCCCGCCACCUUCCGCCUGCGUAUCAGUGAAGCUGCAGCGGCAGAUGGAGAAUGACACAUGCAAACUGUUCACUGUCCUGGACACUGAAUAGUAAUUGUUCCAUGACAAGUGAGAGGUGAGGGUGCAGGGAUGAUGAGCGAGUGGAGGCCACGUACCAACGGAGUCCAUUAGACUGAAAGGACCUCCCCAGAGCUUAAGGUCACAGGAAGACGCUAAAUCAGAGCCACAGACCUGUAGGUGGUAAAUAAAAGGGUGACAGGGAGCA
rnacentral:lncRNA from 1 species